GCUUGUCAGCGUGUGUCUGCCUCGCCUGCGUCAAGCGCAGUGUCCGACUUACGAUGUAACACAUUGUGGUGUUCAUGGUCUCAGCCUUUCACCUUUGGCUGCUUCAUCCAUCCUCCCUAGGACAAAACACCACCCAAUACAUAUUGCAGAUUUGUUCUUUACUUCUUGUGUCUGCUAAGGGGCAGUGGGUAUUUGCAGCAAUUUGAUGGAAAUUUUAUGACCGAAGUGAUCAUGAUGGAAAGGUCUAACAACUGCGGCAUGAUGACUACCGAGUGACUACAGCUGCAUGAUGAUGAUGGCCCACCAAUGAUAGACUGCAUGAUUGUGAAGGUGUCACGACUGCAUGUGAAGAAGGAAUAAUGAGGAAGGAGUGACGAGACAGUGAAACGACAACAUUUGACUGACAAUGACAGUGUGAACAGGCAGAAGACAAAGUUGGCAGAAGAGCCAAAGAAAACUUUGCUUUAAGAAUGCAAUGCAAUAUCUCAAAAGAUGGAACUGAGAACAGCACAAAAAACGCACUGGCAGAGAAGUAUAAUAGUGAAGCGCAGUUUCUUUUUUUAGGUAGAGAAGGCACAAGUUGCACCUAGUUUGAUGCCUUGUGGUGCAAUACUGUCUGGAGCACACUGUAUCCACUUAAAAAUAAAUCGCAACACAUGAUCCAAGCAAUGCCACAAGCAACAAGAUACAAGUGUGCACUAGAGAUGUCACAAUUUGAAAUGCUGCUAACCAGUUGUUCAGUUUGCAGCAAGACCAUAUGUGUAGAACAGUGAAACUAAACGAGGUGGCAAUGAAUAAAAAUUACUUAGAGAUAUUGCCUGAAUGUAAAUCUCUCACUCGAUCUUGAAGGGUCACUAAAGAGGUACACUGAAUGAAUUUAAAUUGAUACAGUAUUUUUGAAAAAAAGAAAUAGGCUUUCGUUGAUCUCACAGUAGUGGGUUAAUUAUUAGAAGUUGGUCAGUUUCAUUUUUGAGUUUUAUGCCAAAAUGCCUGGAUUGCUUUGUCAGCAUACCGCCAACAUGGAGCAUGUUGACCAUCCAUUCAUCUGGUCCUACUUUUCAUUUACGGAAAGCUCUACUAUUCACAGUUAUAGCUUUUCAAGCUCAUUUUCGUUAUUAACUAUACGCACAAGCACCUGAUUGUCA